AUUGAACGCUGGCGGCAGGCCUAACACAUGCAAGUCGAGCGGAGCGGCGGACGGGUGAGUAAUGUCUGGGAAACUGCCUGAUGGAGGGGGAUAACUACUGGAAACGGGCGCUAAUACCGCAUACUAUCAGAUGUGCCCAGAUGGGAUUAGCUUGUAGGUGAGGUAACGGCUCACCUAGGCGACGAUCCCUAGCUGGUCUGAGAGGAUGACCAGCCACACUGGAACUGAGACACGGUCCAGACUCCUACGGGAGGCAGCAGUGGGGAAUAUUGCACAAUGGGCGCAAGCCUGAUGCAGCCAUGCCGCGUGUAUGAAGAAGGCCUUCGGAUUGUAAAGCACUUUAAGUUGGGAGGCGUUACCAACAGAAUAAGCACCGGCUAACUUCGUGCCAGCCGCCGCGGUAAUAC
rnacentral:rRNA from 1 species